UGUCAGCAAAAUUUGACUCAUCUAUAUAUGGCCUGCUUAUAAGGAAUGCGUGUCUAUGCAAAUAACGGAGAGCGGCGAGCUACUUAAGACGCACCACUUCAAUCUCAAAGGAAAAAUACACCGUGGAAAAAUGUCAACACAUUAUAUCUGCCUUUACCUUCUAACAACAUAUGUUAUGUAUGUUAAGACUGCAAUCAUUUUAAGGCAGUCUGAUCCACAGCAGAUGAAGCCAGGGGCAAGUGUACAGCUGAAAUGUGCUGUCGAAGGGUUUGAGUUAAGCAGCAGCAACAUGUACUGGAUUAGACAGGCGCCUGGAAAAGGUCUGGAAUGGCUAAUAUACUACUACAGCUCAUCUAGCAACAGCUAUGCGUCUUCAAUAAAAGGAAGAUUCACCGCUUCGAAAGACUCUUCAAACUUCUACAUGCACAUGACCGAUCUGAGAGUCGACGACACCGCAGUCUAUUACUGUGCUAGGGACACAGCGAGGGAGACGGAUUAGAAAGCCGCACAAAAACA